UAUAACCUUAGUGAAGCUGACAGAUCUCAAACCAAACUAUUAGUGGCUUACCGAGGAUCCGUACCAGCAAGGUGUCUUGACAUCAAGGUAGAAAGGAUCUCUGUGCAGGUGUGACAUCAAGAGGCAUCCCUGCUCAAGGCUGUAGGAAUGGAAUGUUGUUCCUGCAUUAGAUAUUAAAAAGGGAGAAUUGAUCUGAAGAAGCAGAGCACAAUGUACUUGUAUUUUGUAACUUGUCCUUAGAAACAGGUAACGUGAAAAAGUAGAAAUACCAUAUAUGUUAGUAACCUACUUUAGAAAUGCAGUUGCUGAAUUGUGUGAUUAAUUCUUGCUUGCAAAACUGCAAUAGCUCUUAACUGUUCCAAAUAGUGUAGGUAUAGUAUUAUGGACUAGAAAGCAUACUGUAGGGCUAUAUUGGAUAAGAGACCCUCAGCAAAAGAAAAACAGACUCAAGAAACAUCAAAGAAGCCAGGGCCUCUACACAAGGCUGGCUUGCCUUGCUCUGUGGGUAGGUUGGAAUGCAACAGGCAGGAAUCGAGAUACUCCUCCCUAUUCUCCUUUUCUCUAUGCAAGGAUGAGCAGAAGUCUAGAAACAAGGACUGAGUGUUGAGUGAGCAAGUGUGAGAAGUUAACUAACUAGCGAUAUAUGCUUAGCCAGCAACAAUUGAUGUUUAGCCAGUAUCCAUAUGUUCAGUUGAGCGCUGGGAAGAUUGUGAACCUGAAGUACUCAGCCAAUGGGGAACCAGGGAGAAAGAGAUAAGUAUCGAGUUAUAGGGCGUAAAAGAUGUAACGCUGUUUUCUGCCUGCUCUCCUGCUUGCGUGAGUUAAGAGAGGACAAGGUAAGGGUUAACCAUUGUAUAGGAAUGUAAGGAGAGGACAAGAUAAGGGUUAACUACUGUAUAGCAAUGCAGGAAAGCAGGAUGUGAGGCCAGAUAAGAAAAGAACAUCAGAGUGGGCUCAUGCUUGACAUCUUGUAAACAGUGUUGAAAAGAAACCUCAAAAUAAACACACACAGCCUUUGUAGACCCUCCCCUCCAAAAUCAGCACAUUUUGCACAGCCAGAGGUGCCUUCCCAGUCUUCUAUCUGUUGGCAGUUUUACUUCAUCUGUUUUUUCUUCUGAUCACAGCAGAGUGAGUCUGCCUGCAUCAGCAGAAGAGCUGCCUUUGUGGAGGUGCAGAUGCAGCCGGCUGUUGUGGAAUUCAUCUUGACCACUCAAAUGUUCUCUUCCACUCCAAAUCCAGCCCGCUCUUUGGAGAUGGAACAGGAUGCAGUUCUUAAUUGUGGCCUGAGUCCCUGUGGGUUUCUUCUCCUCCCACAGAGCUGCUCACCCUGGAGGAGCACAGGCACGGACACGAGGCCACAGCAGCUCUCCCGUUGUGUCAGACAGCAGAGACAUUGGAGUGGAAGAAGGCCCCACAGCUUUACAGGGGAAAUUGCACACAGUCAUUGACUUUCCAUCCAAACGAUGAAGAGGAGUUUCUUUUGCAGCACCUAUCAUAAUUGUUUGGGUGGGUGUUGGUUUUUUUUUUCCAUUAUUACUAAUGCAAAACUUGCUGAAACUAAGUUACCUUAACCAGGCAUGGAGUGUUGUAGCAAACUUCCACUCACUUUGGACGCUGAGGACUCAACUACCUUGCAACUGCCUGAUGGGCUCAGUUUAGCCACGCAAUGGCACCGUUCCUUUCCUGUUAGGAGCUCAGGUGUCUAAAGCCCUCUGAUGUCGAUGCUUGCCAGUACUGCCUGCACCUGCAGACAUCAGGAUGUUCCAGAUUCCAGGACCACGUGCCUGAAAUAAAUUCUGGUUCUCCUGUAAGCAGAGCUGUUGGACUAACUUGGUGAUGCUAGGACUGGGAAGAGGAAGGGCUGCUGCAGCCCCAGCCCCACCUGACAUGGGUCUCUGUAGGGCCGGGCUGCUGGCUUUGUUCCGUGCACUGCAGGGCUCUGUGACCAAAAAUUACCCCCCAGAGCUGUGCUACCAGCUGUGCCCACACGUCGCUGGCAUACAUGGCUGAGAAGCACCUGCACAUGGCCAGCCAGGAGCUGCUGCCCUUCUGACCACCUCAGUCAAUAACUGCUCUCUGCUUGGGUGCACAUGCUGGAAGCGAUUACUCAACAAAUAAGGCAAAUGUAAGAAAUAAACACUAAACAGGGCUUAUUGUCACAAGGUAGCUGGACAAGAGGAGUGAGAAACUGCGUAAGCACUGGGCAUGUAUAAAGUCUACAGACUGCACUGAAUGUUCGAAAGUAGGCAACCGGUGUAUUUGUAUCAGAUGAAAAGCAGUGGAAAAAAACCCCAAGCCCACAUCAUUCUGAAGAUGGAACCAAGCAGUCCACUUCUGGAAAUGCUACGAGAUGCCUACAGAAAAAGGUCUUCUGGUUCUUAUAGACAGUCUCUUCAAGGUAGGGGCUGCAAAGGCUGAUGUGGAUUCAUGGUUUUAAUUAAGCUGGUUUGAACACCAAAAUAUAUAUGCUGCAGAACUUCAUAACAAUAAAAAGAGAAACCCUACUCAUUUUCCUGAGAACGUAAAGCUACAGGAUUUUAUACAUCCUCUGCUCAGGGAAAAAGAUUUUUGUAACGUAGGGAAUGAAAUGAAUUGUAUUCGGUUCUUGUUUCGCGGGGAGUAAACUCAGUGUGAAGGAUCAUCAUCAUCAUCAAAAAAAAAAACCCCACCUGUGUAAACAGACUCAUGUAAGGAUGCAGAUUUUGCACAGAGAGAAGCAAAAAUCUGCCAUGCAGCUGCUUAGAGCACAUCCUCAUGCCAACAAUUUGAGCUGACUUAGGUAAAAUCAGCUUUGACGUUCAUAUCCUUCACCCAGUUGCUAAAACAACAUUGAGAACGUCUGUAUUCAAACUCAAGGGUUUGAGGGAGGGAAUGUCCAGCAGCUCAGGGUGCUGUGCCACAAAGCUCUGCCUGCUGGCUGGUGCUCCGUGGACCCUACCAUGACUUCAUAAGACUGGAACAUCAGCAAAUAAUUACAAAAAAUAUAAUUUGAGUUUUACAGUUUAACCCACACUUUUCUGCAGCUUUGAGCUCCUCUAAAGAUGCACAUGGUUCCCUCUACGAUUUAAGGGACAUGAAAAAAUGACUCAGGGAGGGAAAUACCUCUACAUACAUCUCUUGUGUAGCGAGAUAGAUAUGCCUCCAGAUUCAUCUCUUGUGUAGACAGGGAGAAACACCUCUGCGCUGUGGCAAGAUUGAUCUGCACUGCUGGAGCGUCCUGUAUGGCAAGUGUGCUUGUGUGGCAGGAGUGCAGAAUGCCCCAAAGGCUGCUUGGGGCUUUGGUCACAGGGAUGUGAGCAGUUCCUUAGAUGUUCAACAGUUGGAUGCGUUCUGUAGUGAGAAGAAAUACAAAAGCCUUAGGAAAAACUCAUCAGCUCAGUGUCGAGUCAGAACUGCACAUCCAUCUGCCUUCAGCCCCAUCUGCGCUCCUCCGCAUCCCACGCAGCCCUUUGUGCUCCCAGAAUCUCAGACAUCUCUGCCCAUUCCCAGUGAUGCAGUGGGGACCAACCUCAUCUACAGCGGAUGGGCACUUGCCCAGUGAUGCUGAGGGUGAGCAGGAAACUGUGAGACAGGAAACACGACAGUGGGCUUGUGCUCAAGUCCUGAGCAGUUUUAAUUGCUGCAGCAGCCAGCAGCUGGGAGAUUCUGCCAGGCUGCCUGGUGAAGAAUGGCAGUUCAAGAAUCAAGAGUAGGAGUUCAAGCAAAUUUGUGUUACUGCUUACACCUGGCUUAUGGCCUCCUCGACAGGCAGGGGAGCUGGUAGACAACCAGAUGAUGCCAUGUGGCCCCUAUGGGAUUCUAUAAAAAUCAACUGGUUGGAGCAAACAGCCCUGAAGCUUUAGUUUUCAUUAAUAUCUGUCUUUUGAUUAAAACCCACGUAGCUCUUGCUAAAAAGUGAGGGCAGGAGCAGCUGAUCUGUGUUGUACUGGUGAUCCUCAGCAGUAGUUAUUCCUCCAGAGUCAGACUGCUAGAGGAGCAGAUGAGGACAGAUUUUUGACCUGAGAAGAUUCAGUGCUGAAACACUUUGCUGUCCAGCCUGCCUACAAAAUACCUGGAGUGGCACGUGAAAUAGAAAAUCACUUUAAAGUAUGGACAUGAGAAAGUAUGACUUGCUUCCUUGAAGCUCAAAGAGCAAUAUGAAAGCAUGUGGGAGAAGCUUUUUGAAAGUAAUGUUAUGCUUUAUAAAACAUCAGUUUUAUAAAACACUCAUUUAUCCUGCUCAUCUUUAAAUGCUGCCUACAUUCAGCAAAAUGUAGUCCUUUAAUCUUGGGCUGAGGAGAACUCUGAUGACAACUACAUAAGUGAGAGGGUUAGAUUAAGUCUAUAAAUGCACUGGAAGAGGAGAACCAUGAGGUUUUCCAAAGCAUAACAGAAUAAAGUUAGCAAAAGGAAUAUUAAGAAUUUCACAGAAUAUUUCCUGACAGAAAGGGCUUUAGACUGUGAGCAAGCUACUUGAAUGGCAUGCACACUAUGCUCGAUGGGACCCACAGGUCUGUUUCUAAGGUGGAAAGGUCACAGUUAGAUAACAUACCUUGUUGUUUGUGCACCCUUCAUUUGACAAGAAGUAGGCAGCUUGGGUCUGGCAACAGAGUUGUUUUAUUUUUGUGUUUUAUAAGAUAUUAGCUGCAAUGUUCACUGAUUUUGGCUUUCACACGUCCCGUGUGUUUGAUAAAACGUGGCCUUGUGAAUCUUAAAAGCUUCGCAGAGCAAUGGUGGCAUCUGGGUAGAUUUUCAUUUUAUUGGAUUAAUGUUAAUGGGCUGCCUCAUAACCAGUUUAUUUAUUCAUUGCAAAUGCUCUAAAUGCUGGCAAACGAUAUAAUUAGACUAUAAGCUAUCAAGGAAUCAAAUAAGAAGCACGUUUCUGAUACUCUGCACAACAUUCUGUAUAAUAUUCUAUUUGCCCCGUGUUUUCCUUUCAAAAUGAUAUUGAACUUUAAGUUGGGAGUUUUCCAUUUUCCAUGCUAGAAUGUUCAAAACCAACAGCCAGCAUUAGCAGGAAUCUGCCAUCAGCUCUGGCUCCUGGCUCCCAUAACUGUCCUUCUCACAGAGCCAUAGAAUCACAGAGCAGCUUGAGCUGGAGGGGACCUUAAAGCUCACCCAGCUCCAACUCCCCGCCGUAGGCAGAGGUGCCAGCCACCAGCUCAGGCUGCCCAGGGCUCCAUCCAAUCUGGCCUUUGAUGCCUCCAGAGAUGGGGCACCACAGCUUUUCUGGGCAGACUGUGCCAGGGCUUCACUACCCUCUGUGUAAAGAAUUUCUUCCUGACACCUAACCCAGACGUCCCCUCUUUUGGUUCAGAACUGCUCAGCCUUGCUUAUCUCUAGCACACCACGUAAGAAGUCAGCCCCCCUCCUUUUUAUAAGCCCCCCUCAAGGUGCUGCACUGCUACAAUGGGGUUUUCCAGGGCCUUCUCCAGGCUGCACAAGCCCAGCUCCCUCUGCCCAUCUUCCUAGGAGAAGAAAGGAGGGAGACAGCCACUUCCCUUGCUCUGCUAGCCACUCUCUCUGGAUGCAGCCUCAGUCUCUUGUUUCUCUUCCUUCAUCCUCACCACUCUGUGCACCUCUGCCUGCCCCCAGCCACAUCUGGUGGGGAGGCACCUCCUGGUCAGAGUUUGCUGACCAGAGUUUGCUCCCUUCUCCUGUGAACGGCGAUGCUGUGCAAUCCUUCCUCCAACAAAGUGCCUUUUUACAUCUGGAGAGAACAGGGUCUCAGUGAUCUAAUGGACCUCGGUGUUUGCACCCCAAAGCCGCAAAAGGGACAGUUUCCACCUGUUUCCACUUUGUCUUUUAUUUAAGCAGUUCUGUUGACUGCUGCUGGUCAGUUUGCACACUGGUCAUACGGAUCUUCUCACGGUGGUGAAAUAUUUAUGUCACGUGUUCUGCUGUAACUCCUCAGUUUCUUCUCUUUGAGCUUGCAAUCUUCACAUUUUCAAUGGUUUGGUUGGUUGGUGCCUCAUAGAGCAGAAGUGCUGGGAUUAAAAAGUACAUAUAGUAUAUAAAGUUCUUCUCCAUCUUGCAAUUUCUGUAUCUCAAUUAUGUAUUCGCAAAGUGAGUAUGAAAUAUUUAACUGUCCAAGUCUAUCUUGUUAGAAGCCUUUAAGAAUGCAGCUUCUUUCAAAUGUCAAAUGUCUUUCAAUUUUAACAUAACUCAUGGUUAGGAAUUAAACAUGUAAUUAAAAAAAUAAAGUACAGAUUGUUUCACAUUUUCUAAAGAAAACGUUUGACCUUGAGUCAUUUCCCCUAAAGAUGCUGAAGGCUUUUCCAGUCGGAAGUGAAGAGCAGAUUGCUGGUAAGCUGCCAUGGGUUAAAAAGCUCCACAUGUCAUCUCGGCCCCAGGUUGGUCCUUUUUCCCUUGAUGAGAACAGCCCUAUUAAGCUGGACGUAGUGAUCCAUGACUCUUAGACAAAGCUGGUAGCUGGGGCCUCUUACUGGAAUUUCGUGCCUCUGUUCGUGUAAUUUCCUGAGCAUUCUCACUGCUAAGUGGGAUGCCUGGUCUUGUUUUGUUGACUGCACCAGGCCACAUGAGGCAAGGCUUGCAAGGCAAGUUCCUCCUCAGGGCUGAGCACAGCUCGUGUUCUGGGGACAUCGCCACGCGUUCCAUCACCUGGUGUGUGCAAAGAGCACCAGAAGCAGCACAUCAAAGACAAGACGCCUGUGACGUACCUAAAAACACCAUUUAAAGUGCCAACAUUGUAGCUCUCAGAACAGCCAGGGCCAAAGAUGAGGGUGGGAGCUGGGCACAGCCCCUCCUCCCAGCACUGUGGCUGCUCACAGCCCCUCUCAGCCCUGCAGACCAUCUGGGUGCAGGGCUGGAGCUGUGGCUGGGCAGCACUUUGAGCAGGCGAUCAGCUGCAGCUCUGCAGCGUGCACUGCUGACACACUGUGCUCUGCAGUUGUGUGUUUUCUGCUUACGGCUGGAACAGAAUGCAAAAUUAAGAGAUGAAACAAAUCCCACUUGAAAACCUUUGAGAAGGAACCCAGUCAGUUCUCCUGUUACGGCUCUACAGACUUUUUUAAGUGACAAAGUGAUGUUUUUCAUUUUUCCUUUUUUUUCCCUCUUUCUUCUGGCUCAGAGGAAGAGGAAAGUCUUGUUAUGGUGGGUGAGCAUUUUAUAUAUUUAUUGCAUUUCUUACAUUCUUACAUUUCUCUGCUCAGGCCCCCCUCCCCUGAGGAGGGAAAACUCCAGCACGUGGAAACUGGCCUCAUGUUGUAAAUGCAGCUCCUACAGAUCGACAAAGAGCCUCCUCAAAGGACAAAGAAACUACAGUUUGUAAUUCAUUGCCUCUUCAUUUGUGUAAAGUGAUGCCUGUGUCUCUGAUGUUUUUCAGGAGAAAUAUACUUUGUAGGAUAUUAGUUACUAAACACAUCCACUGUAAUUCUGUCCUUCCCAGUGUUUUCCCCAUAGAUCCCUUUGUUAUUUCCUCUGGGUCCCUCUUAUUGAUCCUUUUUGGCAGCACUUUAUCUCAAGUAUUUUAAGGUCUGCUUAUCCAUAUAUUGGUCACAACAGCAGCUGCAUGAAUUUUCCUUAUUCCCCCUAUCCUCCCUACUCCCCCCAUAUGCUGCAUGCCCCCA